UGGCUUUCCUGUGCUUUUCNACCUUGCUGC
rnacentral:piRNA from 1 species